rnacentral:misc_RNA from 1 species
AGAGAAUGAGCAAUGUCUA